CGUCACCCCUGAGUCUUCAGCAUCCGCUCAUUAGUGUGGUGCUUUGGUUUCCGUCUCUAUAUCCAUCCAAAUUUGGCAGGUUAAGACCCACAUAUAGGUUCAGCUGUUCUUCACACCUGAGAACCAAUCUUGAUCUUAGCAGUGAGGGCAUCCUCGGAGUCUAUGUGUUCAAGAUGGUGGCCUCAUAAAAUGCAAGGAGCCAAACUGGUGUUAGCCUAUUCAGACAUUUGCAGCUUUUGUUAUUUCAUGAAGAUACUUCUCUUGGGUUCAUUUUGUAUUUUUUUAUAUCUCAACCCUUUCUGUUUUUUUAAAUCUGUGUUUUAACCAGUAUUGU